rnacentral:rRNA from 1 species
ACGGAAGGCAGCAGUGGGGAAUAUUGGGCAAUGGGCGCAAGCCUGACCCAGCAACGCCGCGUGAAGGAAGAAGGCUUUCGGGUUGUAAACUUCUUUUAUCAGGGACGAAGCAAUGACGGUACCUGAUGAAUAAGCCACGGCUAACUACGUGCCAGCAGCCGCGGUAAUACGUAGGUGGCAAGCGUUAUCCGGAUUUACUGGGUGUAAAGGGCGCGUAGGCGGGGAUGCAAGUCAGAUGUGAAAUCCAUGGGCUUAACUCAUAAACUGCAUUUGAAACUGUAUCUCUUGAGUGCUGGAGAGGUAGAUGGAAUUCCUAGUGUAGCGGUGAAAUGCGUAGAUAUUAGGAGGAACACCAGUGGCGAAGGCGGUCUACUGGACGAUAACUGACGCUGAGGCGCGAAAGCGUGGGGAGCAAACAGGAUUAGAUACCCUGGUA